UACGGAGGGAGCUAGCGUUGUUCGGAAUUACUGGGCGUAAAGCGCACGUAGGCGGCUUUGUAAGUUAGGGGUGAAAGCCCGGGGCUCAACUCCGGAAUUGCCUUUAAGACUGCAUCGCUUGAAUCCGGGAGAGGUGAGUGGAAUUCCGAGUGUAGAGGUGAAAUUCGUAGAUAUUAGGAAGAACACCAGUGGCGAAGGCGGCUCACUGGCCCGGUACUGACGCUGAGGCGCGAAAGCGUGGGGAGCAAACAGG
rnacentral:rRNA from 1 species